rfam:Vibrio aerogenes CECT 7868 genome assembly, contig: 0046
CAGGAAGCGCAUUCAUGGAUGAAUGUGCAGGUUUUUCAGCACAGGGAGGUGCUUAAAAACCGGUUCCGGCCAGC